GAUGAACGCUGGCGGCGUGCCUAACACAUGCAAGUCGAACGUGAAGGAGCCUUCAUUUCGGUGAGGGGUUCUGAAAGUGGCGAACGGGUGAGUAACACGUAGGUGACCUGCCUGGCAGUGGGGGAUAACCACUGGAAACGGUGGCUAAUACCGCAUAGGUCUUUGGGGGUGGGCGCUUCCAAGGAUAAAGCCUUCGGGCGCUGCGAGAGGGGCCUGCGGCCGAUUAGCUAGUUGGUGGGGUAACGGCUCACCAAGGCGAUGAUCGGUAGCUGGUCUG
rnacentral:rRNA from 1 species